GCUUAGAGAGGGGUCAAUGUCCUAUCAGCUAGUUGGUAAGGUAAUGGCUUACCAAGGCUAAGACGGGUAGCCGGCCUGAGAGGGUGGUCGGCCACACUGGGACUGAGACACUGCCCAGACUCCUACGGGAGGCUGCAGUCGAGAAUCUUUCGCAAUGCCCGAAAGGGUGACGAAGCGACGCCGCGUGUGGGAAGAAGGCCUUCGGGUUGUAAACCACUGUCGGGAGUUAAGAAAUGUAAGGGUGUUAAUAGCAUCCUUACUUGACUAAGGCUCCGGAGGAAGCCACGGCUAACUCUGUGCCAGCAGCCGCGGUAAUACAGAGGCGGCAAGCGUUGUUCGGAAUUAUUGGGCGUAAAGAGCACGUAGGCGGCCUUGUAAGUCAGUUGUGAAAGCCUUCUGCUUAACGGAAGAACAGCAUCUGAUACUGCAAGGCUAGAGUACGGAAGGG
rnacentral:rRNA from 1 species